UACGGGGGGGGGCAAGCGUUGUUCGGAAUUACUGGGCGUAAAGGGCUCGUAGGCGCCAACUAAGUCAGACGUGAAAUCCCCAGGCUCAACCUGGGAACUGCGUCCGAUACUGGUUGGCUUGAAUCCGGGAGAGGGAUGUGGAAUUCCAGGUGUAGCGGUGAAAUGCGUAGAUAUCUGGAGGAACACCGGUGGCGAAGGCGACAUCCUGGACCGGUAUUGACGCUGAGGAGCGAAAGCUAGGGGAGCAAACGGG
rnacentral:rRNA from 1 species